GAGGGUGGGUCGAAGCGGGAAAUGGGGAUGGUUCCCAUAGGAAGGGCUUCGAUUUCUCGGUCUCUCCCAAUCCAUGUUCCAAAUAUAUCACUAUCAAAUCCGAAUUCAAUUCCUAAGAAAAACGAGUUGUUGUGCAGCUUCAUCCGAAACCAAAACAAUUCGGCGGUGAGCUGUUUUUCCCAGUUUCUUCCUUCUCACUAAUUUAUCGAAAAUUGCAAAAAGAAAAACGCAAUAGUAAUGUAGGCAGUUAAGCCUGAACGGGAGCUCUCAAAAUUAGCUCCUUCAAAGAGCCUGGUAAGUGUUACCUGCACCUUAAAAAGGUCGAGAGAGGUGGGGAUGAUGCAUUCCUUGUUCACGACUACAAUGGGGGAGUUGUUGCUGUUGCUGACGGUGUCUCUGGGUUGUGAGCUCACAACAUAUAUUCUUCCCUUGGCUGAGGAUCAAACUGGUGAAACUCGUAGAGAACAGGAAAAAACACUCGAAUCAUAGUCACGAAGUUCUUAUUUAUUCUUGGCUUCUAGGUUGUCUUGUAAAGUUUGAGGAUCUUGUAAUGACGCCAAGGAAAUUGAAAGUGUCCACAUUUGAAUAUAAA